CAUGGCUCAGGAUGAACGCUAGCGGCAGGCCUAACACAUGCAAGUCGAGGGAGAAGUAUUUUCGGAUACAGAAACCGGCGCACGGGUGCGUAACGCGUAUAUAAUCUACCUUAUACAGAGGGAUAGCCCGAAGAAAUUUGGAUUAAUACUUCAUAGUAUUAUUGAUUGGCAUCGAUUAAUAAUUAAAGCUGAGGCGGUAUAAGAUGAGUAUGCGUCCUAUUAGCUAGUUGGUAUGGUAACGGCAUACCAAGGCUACGAUAGGUAGGGGUCCUGAGAGGGAGAUCCCCCACACUGGUACUGAGACACGGACCAGACUCCUACGG
rnacentral:rRNA from 1 species